rnacentral:rRNA from 1 species
AGUGAACGUUGGCGGUAGGUCUAACCUAUGUCCGUCGAAACCCAGACUACUAAGUGCUUGCUCUUACGGGUGGCGAGAGGCCGCUGGGAGAGGAAUACUUCGGCACCUAUCUUUUCGUGGGGGACAACGUAGGGAAAUCUAAGCUAAUACCGCCUACGCCCUACGCGCGAAAGCAGGGGACCUUUGCACUUUGCGCGAUUGAAUGAGCCGAUGUCGGAUUAGCUAGUUGGCGGGGUAAAGGCCCACCAAGGCGACGAUCCGUAGCUGGUCUGAGAGGAUGAUCAGCCACACUGGAACUGAGACACGGUCCAGACUCCUACGGGAGGCAGCAGUGUAGAAGAUUGGACAAUGGGCGCGAGCUUGAUCCAGCCAUAGCGCGUAGGUAAAGAAAACGUGCGAGUUGGAAAGAGGUUUUGUUAGGAAAGAAAAGCAGCAGAUUAAGGCCCCGCUAUACUGACGUUACCCAGAAAAUAAGCACCGGCUGUCUUCAGU